GACGAACGCUGGCGGCGCGCUUAACACAUGCAAGUCGAGCGAAGCGGCGGACGGGGGAGUAACACGUGAGUAACCUGCCUUAGACAUUGGGAUAGCCUCGGGAAACCGGUAUUAAUACCAAAUGGUCUAAGAUGGACUCGCGUCCCAUUAGCUAGUUGGUGAGGUAACGGCCCACCAAGGCGACGAGGGGUAGCCGGCCUGAGAGGGUGACCGGACACAUUGGAACUGGGCAACGGUCCAGACUCUGCGGGAGGGAGCAGUGGCGGAUAUUGCACAAUGGAGGGAACUCUGAUGCAGCGACGCCGCGUGAACGAAGACAGCUUUCGAGUCGUAAAGGUCUUUUAUAUGGGAAGCGGUACCAUAAGAAAAAGCCCCGGCUAACUACGUGCCAGCAGCCGCGGUAAUUC
rnacentral:rRNA from 1 species